CCAAUAGCGUAUAUUAAAGUUGUUGCAGUUAAAAAGCUCGUAGUUGAAUUUCGGGGUUAGUAGGUCGGUCGUGCCACUGGUAUGUACUGGUCUCACUGAUUCCUCCUUCCUGAUGAACCGUAAUGCCAUUAAUUUGGUGUUGCGGGGAGACUGGACUGUUACUUUGAAAAAAUUAGAGUGUUUAAAGCAGGCUAACGCUUGAAUACAUUAGCAUGGAAUAACGGAAUAGGACGUUCGAUCUUAUUUUGUUGGUUUCUAAGAUUGACGUAAUGAUUAAUAGGGAUAGUUGGGGGCAUUAGUAUUCAAUUGUCAGAGGUGAAAUUCUUGGAUUUAUUGAAGACUAACUACUGCGAAAGCAUUUGCCAAGGAUGUUUUCAUUAAUCAAGAACGAAAGUUAGGGGAUCGAAGACGAUCAGAUACCGUCGUAGUCUUAACCAUAAACUAUGCCGACUAGGGAUCGGAUGAUGUUAAUUUUUUAAUGACUCAUUCGGCGCCUUACG
rnacentral:rRNA from 1 species